GACGAACGCUGGCGGCGUGCCUAAUACAUGCAAGUAGAACGCUGAAGGAGGAGCUUGCUUCUCUGGAUGAGUUGCGAACGGGUGAGUAACGCGUAGGUAACCUGCCUGGUAGCGGGGGAUAACUAUUGGAAACGAUAGCUAAUACCGCAUAAGAGUAGAUGUUGCAUGACAUUUGCUUAAAAGGUGCAAUUGCAUCACUACCAGAUGGACCUGCGUUGUAUUAGCUAGUUGGUGGGGUAACGGCUCACCAAGGCGACGAUACAUAGCCGACCUGAGAGGGUGAGCGGCCACACUGGGACUGAGACACGGCCCAGACUCCUACGGGAGGCAGCAGUAGGGAAUCUUCGGCAAUGGACGGAAGUCUGACCGAGCAACGCCGCGUGAGUGAAGAAGGUUGUCGGAUCGUAAAGCUCGGUUGUAAGAGAAGAACGAGUGUGAGAGUGGAAAGUUCACACUGUGACGGUAUCUUACCAGAAAGGGACGGCUAACUACGUG
rnacentral:rRNA from 1 species